rnacentral:misc_RNA from 1 species
CCUAGUUGGUGUUUGCAGAAUCCAUGGAAAUGUAGAACUGGGAAGAAAAGCAGCAGAAAAACUUAUAGAAUUGAAGCCUCAAUCCUCUGCAGCCUAUGUGUUACUAUCUAGUAUAUAUGCUGCACAUGGGAGGUGGGAAUCGGUUGAGAAGGUGAGACAGCUUAUGAAAGAGGAGCGAGCCCUUAGUUGGAUAGAUAUUGAAAACAAGGUGCACUCUUUUACCGUAUCAGAUCAGUUGCACCCUUUGAAAGAAGUAAUAUAUUCAAUCUUGGAACAAUUAGCUGACCA